UGGGAGCCCUCCCCUAGGACUGGUAACUGGCGCACCAUGAAUCUGCUUCACAUAUAACACCUGCCAGGUGUCCUUCAAAAAUGUCAUGUGCUCAUAAACACUUCAAAUUCUCAGUGGUUCUUUCUGAAUUAUAAACUCCAUGAAGACCCAAUUCCAUCAGCAGCCAUUGGAAGUUUUUGACAAAAUGGGAAGAUCACUGCUGUAUAUUUGUAGUUUAAAUAGCGAGCAUUUAAAGCUUUCUCUGAGGCAGUUUCUGGAAAGUUAAAGACUAAUGAGAAAAACAGCUGAAGAAACUCUCCCCAAUGAGUUUAUGUCCCUAAGCGAUGAAUUUUUGAAUGGUGCAAUGUUCUAACAUGUGAUGGACAGCGAAUUCCCAGAGAAUCAUCAAGUACACUUUGGAAUAAAUGAACAGCAGGACAUAUUUUUUAAGGAGUGCUGAGCCGCAGUAAAACUCCAGAGAAUGCUCUAAUUUCUUGAUUUAUUUCCUGGAUUUCCUCCUAAUAAACAAAGAAUGAUGAAAGCAAAUAUGCAAGGGCCAAGUUUCUACGGUCCAGCAAUCACAGAAUCAUUAAUGCUGUGAUGCUUCCAAGAAUAUGGGCAAACAGCAAGAGAAAGAAACUAGUAAACUUUGAAGAAAUCCCUUUGAGAAAAUUUUUAAAUGAUCCAGGAUAAAUAGAAAAUAAUGUGCUGCUGUUCAGAUAAAUUUACUGGAGAAACCACAAAGAUGAGAUUGUUAAGGAAGAGUCAAGGGAUGGGGACUAUAAAAUGCAUAUGCUUCUCCAGAUAACACUGAGUUUUCAGAGUGGCAACCAACAUUGCAGCUUUGAAAAGAAAAAAAAACACUUGGAAAGUGAAAAAGAAAGAGGGGAAAUUAUAUGUACAAUUAUCAGAAAAGCAACAUCUGAGAAUUCAGCAAUCACUAGCACAUAUGUGUGUUCUGUUUCGUUUAAACUCAGCUUCUCACCCUUGCUCAGGAUGCCCUCAGUGAACUGCCUGUGGGUCUUUCUGUUGUUGCACAGCCCCUCUUGAUGUCUUCCUAGUUGGAAAUGCACACUGUCUGCAAGAUUCCAGGCAGAUGCUUUCUCCUGCACAAGUAUUUCCCUGACCUCUACCUGGAAGCAAUUUCUCCUACUUCCUGAAACCCAGAGGAGAGUAUCUCUACUUCUCUAAUUAACAAAACUGCUUCCCCACCCACCAUGGUUACAUACCGAGAUAUAGAAGAACCAGGUGAGCAGUGAGGGUUGAAGGCAGAGAUGACAGCCACUGAGCAAACAAUCCUACAGGGAAUCCAGAGAAUGGAUAAACCUAUGAGGGAAAGUGAAGUGGGAGAAGAGUUAGUGUUCUGGAAACCCGGGGUGUGACAGUAAGCAAGUGAAGAACAUUAAAAGGGGAAGGAGUAAGGAGGAGAGGAGAGGUGUGAAAUGGUCACUUGGCCUUACCUCUUGUCCUGUGCACAGUUUGCUUUACUGCAUUUUUAGCCCAGUGCUGCAUGACCUGCCAGUGUAAGGACCAGAAAAUCCAAGGGUCUCACCUGGAGACCUCUUGGGAUCACCUGCUGGAAGGCCAUUCUGGAACAUUCCGGAGCACUCUUAUGGUGACUAUGGGUAGAUUUUCAUGAUUCUAUUUUUAUUGGUCCUUCAUUAUUAUUGUAGUAUUAACUAAUAGGGCUGCCCUAGCUUUCACUGGAACCAAGCCUUGGUCAUCAAAACUUGCUCAGCCUAUUGGCAUGGCCAAAAAUAUAUCACAGAUCCUCUUGGAAAGUCCACAACUCCUCCUGCUACUGCUGGAAGCGAGGAUGGUGGACGCAGUCAGCAGUGAAAGGAGCCAGUGACAGAGAAGCCAUAGUUGCAAAGGUACAGUGUGUUUUACCUCAAGAAGGGUGGUGAAUUGUUGUAGGCAAACUCCACAAUGGUAAGAGAAUGACUCAGUUAGUCCAUUUGUAGGAGCAGUAAGAAUACAGUUAUCAUGCUAAGAAUUAGAUUCUUUUAUGUUCUAUCAGGUUGUAUCCUCUAGGUCCUAUAUAUACAGUGGCAGGCAUAUCCACUUAUGCACAGACCUAGAAAAUAUCUAUGCUAUUGAUUAUUGUAAACCAUCACAGAAGAGGGAUACUGUAUUUGUGAAAAGAUCUUUGAUCAUACACGUGUUGCUGUGUCCAAGGAAAGGGAGUGGAUGAAGGUGACUAGAGCUAUACUUCAUGAGCAAAUGAAGAGUGGAAGCAGGGAGAUUAAUCUAUCUGUGCAUUAAGAACAAAUGUUACAACUGCAGUAUAUUGGAGAAUAACAUGUCAGAUACAGGACCACUGGAAAUCCCCCAAGAUGCCACAUUCAGGAUUUUGCAUAAGCAUUAGAACACCUGCAGAGUAAACUGUCUCCAUAUAAUCCAUAUAACUUCAUGUCACAUACACUAAUACGUUACACAUCUCAACUAAAAAUAGAUCUUUCCUGAUUUACUACCCUCAACCAAUGCUAUAACAUUGUUAUAGAUAUUAAAUGUUUAAUUGAAAAAAUAACAUGAUUUCUUUAAAAAGCAAGCUAACAGCAUCCUUUUCAGAGAGUCAUUGUCACAAAGGCAACCUACCAUGGUGCCUUAGCAUUCCUGCCUGUUUUUGCUUGGUGUGCCAAGAAUCCUGGCCCCUUUCUCAGGACUGUGUUUGUCCAGCAUCAAUGAAGGAUGAUGUAACAGUGCCACCAACCCCCAUCCCCCAGACACAGAUCAUGCUUGCUUGUUGCUCUAUGCAAAUGCAAUAAGUUCUCCAGGCUCCAGGUCCUGUUGCUGUCACCCAACCCACUUCAUAGACAGGCAUCAUGUAGACCCACAUGUGUCGGCCCAUAAAACUUGGAGAGAAAGAGAAACCAGUGCAAACCAGAGUGAAGCUAAUGCUGCUUGCUUCGCCAUGAGUGAUAAAGUCCUUUGUUUCUGACACAGGACUAUCAUGUCUUCUGCCAGCAUUCGUGAAGCAAUAACAGGUUAAUAUAUCAGGUUGCAAUUAGAAUAAAAAUCCCAGAAACUUCACAAACCCUGAUAGUUAGUUGGAAGUUUGAAAUCUAGAACCACAUGUUUCACUUUCCUCUUCCUACUGAGAGUCCUGAAAUCAUUACCAAUAAUGAAACCUCACUUUAAACUCUGAGACUGUGUUUUCCUCUCCAUACCUUACCUGGAUGUAACCAUCAUGAGGGAUAGGCAUUCGGAGCUGGCCAGAGGAGAUAGCCAUCCUAAGAGAAACGUCUUUUGUCCCUUGCAUCGCUUAAAAGUGGAGAGCAUUCCAGAGCUUAGCUAGGGUAGAUGUGAGGCUAAAGCACUUUCUGCCACUCCCCUAGUCUCACCACAAUAUGGAACCAGCUUUC
rnacentral:lncRNA from 1 species